rnacentral:rRNA from 1 species
CACGUAGGGGGCGAGCGUUGUCCGGAUUUAUUGGGCGUAAAGGGCUCGUAGGCGGCUCAGUAAGUCGGGUGUGAAACCUCCAGGCUCAACCUGGAGACGCCACUCGAUACUGCUGUGGCUAGAGUCCGGUAGGGGAGCAUGGAAUUCCUGGUGUAGCGGUGAAAUGCGCAGAUAUCAGGAGGAACACCAAUGGCGAAGGCAGCUCGCUGGGACGUGACUGACGCUGAGACGCGAAAGCGUGGGGAGCAAACAGG